CCUACGUGUGGCAGCAGUGAGGAAUAUUGGUCAAUGGGCGCGAGCCUGAACCAGCCAAGUAGCGUGAAGGAUGACUGCCCUACGGGUUGUAAACUUCUUUUAUAAAGGAAUAAAGUGAGGCACGUGUGCCUUUUUGUAUGUACUUUAUGAAUAAGGAUCAGCUAACUCCGUGCCAGCAGCCGCGGUAAUACGGAGGAUCCGAGCGUUAUCCGGAUUUAUUGGGUUUAAAGGGAGCGUAGAUGGGUUGUUAAGUCAGUUGUGAAAGUUCGCGGCUCAACCGUAAAAUUGCAAUUGAUACUGGCAGUCUUGAGUACAGUUGAGGUAGGCGGAAUUCGUGGUGUAGCGGUGAAAUGCUUAGAUAUCACGAAGAACUCCGAUUGCGAAGGCAGCUUACUAAACUGCCACUGACAUUGAUGCUCGAAAGUGUGGGUAUCAAACAGGAUUAGAUACUCGAGUAGUC
rnacentral:rRNA from 1 species